UUAUGUCACUGUGUCUAACCCAUCUAUGAGGUGCAGAGGUUGAAGUCAUCUUGAAAGUUUCUUCUUGAAAGUUAAACCAAAGUCAAACUCGCAUGCAUUAUGGUCUGGUUAGCGAUUAUGGAAGUCUUAAAUUAGCCUAAAGUAAUCACUUCAGGGAUUAACCCUUCCACUAAGCCCGCAGAGAUAUGUGUCACAUUUCAAACCUGCACAAGAACUCGAGAGCGCUCUGUCCAUCACACUGAAUUGAGGCCAGUUUACUUUAUACUUCUAUAGGACCCAUAAAGACACUACAGUCCAGACUUUAACGCUGCAGCCCUCUGAGAGAUGGCAUCAUCAUCUAUGAAGACUCUCCAUUGAUCCACUGGAAGCAGCCGGAAGACCUAAUGCCAUUCCCAUGCAUCCAGACUUCCGCAUUAUUGUUUUAGCAAACCGGCCUGGCUUUCCGUUUUUUGGAAAUGACUUUUUUGGAGCACUUGGUAAGACUUAUAUAUUAUGCAGAAU